AACAGGAUUAGAUACCCUGGUAGUCCACGCCGUAAACGAUGUCGACUUGGAGGUUGUGCCCUUGAGGCGUGGCUUCCGGAGCUAACGCGUUAAGUCGACCGCCUGGGGAGUACGGCCGCAAGGUUAAAACUCAAAUGAAUUGACGGGGGCCCGCACAAGCGGUGGAGCAUGUGGUUUAAUUCGAUGCAACGCGAAGAACCUUACCUACUCUUGACAUCCAGAGAACUUUCCAGAGAUGGAUUGGUGCCUUCGGGAACUCUGAGACAGGUGCUGCAUGGCUGUCGUCAGCUCGUGUUGUGAAAUGUUGGGUUAAGUCCCGCAACGAGCGCAACCCUUAUCCUUUGUUGCCGGCGGUCCGGCCGGGAACUCAAAGGAGACUGCCAGUGAUAAACUGGAGGAAGGUGGGGAUGACGUCAAGUCAUCAUGGCCCUUACGAGUAGGGCUACACACGUGCUACAAUGGCGCAUACAAAGAGAAGCGACCUCGCGAGAGCAAGCGGACCUCAUAAAGUGCGUCGUAGUCCGGAUUGGAGUCUGCAACUCGACUCCAUGAAGUCGGAAUCGCUAGUAAUCGUAGAUCAGAAUGCUACGGUGAAUACGUUCCCGGGCCUUGUACACACCGCCCGUCACACCAUGGGAGUGGGUUGCAAAAGAAGUAGGUAGCUUAACCUUCGGGAGGGCGCUUACCACUUUGUGAUUCAUGACUGGGGUGAAGUCGUAACAAGGUAACC
rnacentral:rRNA from 1 species